rnacentral:lncRNA from 1 species
GAACCUAGGGACAUAAGUGUCAAGUUCCGGAUGCUCAUCUAGUGCCUCAGUAACCUCCUAGUUGUCCCACUUGGCUUCUCUACGCUGGAAAACCACGUCGGUAAGCUCGGGAAAGGCGAAGUCGUAUAUGGCACACUCGGGCUUUAUCCCAAUACGGAAACUACCCGUUUUCAGCUCCCGCCAAGCACUCGCGACGGCUUCGGUAAGCCUAUUGUGCCCUUGCUCGCUUGUGAAAUAGGAAAACUGAAGUUGGUUAUAGCGAUUCGAGCUCACAUAGUAGUUGAUAUAAAGGGUACGAAAUUAUUCCUUGAGGUGGUCGUAGUCUGUAGCAGCCUGGAUCUUCAGUUGCCCGUAAUCCAUAGCUCAUUGGUGGUGAGUUAUCUCCAA